ensembl:snRNA
GUGUUGUAUGAAAGGAGAGAAGGCUAGCACUCCUCUUGACAAGGAUGGAUGGAAGAGGCCCUCGGGCCGGAAGCAUGCAUACUGUGAAGGCAUUGCCAUCUGCUUCCUGGCCUCUAACCAUCGUUUUUG